GGUCCAUUGGUGUAGAGGCUGAGCACGGGGGACUUUGAACCAGCUAGCUGGCAUUUCUGUUGCUAGUCGUAGGAAGUUCAUCCCCAGACCUCGGUUCGAACCCGAGAUGGACCU